rnacentral:rRNA from 1 species
AAGAUGGAUGCCGGCGAUGAUAGGUGGAUCUGGUACUGGAUAAGGGAUUCCUUGUUUCGCCCCUCCCGGUCGGUGUCAAGCGGAUGGCACUUCGGAAGAUGGAUUCCAAUAGCCCACGUUAUUCACUUAUCAAGCUCCCAAUAUGGAAAAGGAAGGGGCACAUUGCCACUCGAGCAAGAAUGGCAUGCAAUGAUUGCAAAGGAAGUGGGAGUGGGAUAUGCGACCAGAUUCUCUUUGAUUAACCGUCCCGCUCCUACCGGAUCCAAUAGGACCGAUGCCCUUUUAAAAAAGGCCCGGAGAAGAAGCCAUGACUCUGUGCCAGCAGCCGCGGUAAUACAGAGGAUGCAAGCGUUAUCCGGAAUGAUUGGGCGUAAAGCGUCUGUAGGUUCGUCCAAUCCCAGGGCUCAACCCUGGACAGGCGGUGGAAACUACCAAGCUGGAGUACGGUAGGGGCAGAUGGCAUUUCCGGUUACGCGGUGAAAUGCGUAGAGAUCGGAAAGAACACCAACGUUCCCCGUGACACUGAGAGACGAAAGCUAGGGGAGUAGUCCUAGCCGUAAACGAUGGAUACUAGGCGCUGUGCGUAUCGACCCGUGCAGUGCUGUAGCUAACGCGUGAAGUAUCCCGCCUGGGUGGGCUGGGGAGUACGUUCGCAAGAAGGAAACUAAAAGGAAUGGACGGGGGCCUGUUUUCUUUGGUUUCAUUCGAUGCAAAGCGAAGAACCUUACCACUCUUUCAAGAGAGGGGUGCCUUCGGGAACGCUACCACAGGUGGUGCAUGGCUGUCGUCAGCUCGUGCCGUCCUUUUUUGGGUUAAGUCCCGCCCGCAACGAGCGCAACCCUCGUGUUUAGCCGUUCAUAACCCUGAGCAGACUGCCGGGCCGGUGAUAAGCCGGAGGAAGGCCUAAUGCCCCUUAUGCCCUGGGCGACACACGUGCUACAAUGGCCGGGACAAAGGGUUGCGUCGCGCGCGAUCCCGCGAGGGGAGGGGGAUGGCCCGUCCUAAGUUCGGAUUGCAGGCUGCUGCAUGCUAGUAAUCGCCGAAGCCAUACGGCGUUCGUUCCCGGGCCUUGUACACACCGCCCGUCACACUAUGGGAGCUGGCCAUGCCCGAAGUCGUUACCUUAACCGCAAGGAGGGGGAUGCCGAAGGCAGGGCUAGUGACUGGAGUUAAGUCGUAACAAGGUAGCCGUACUUGAAGGUGCGGCUG